UGUAGGAGCCGGCUUGCCGGCGAUGCAGGCAACUCGGUCUAUCUGGCACACCGAGGUGACGCUAUCGCCGGCAAGCCAGCUCCUACA
rnacentral:misc_RNA from 1 species